AGCAGAGUAGGGCUCUUGUACUGGAGCUCUGAAUGCAUUUCUUUCUCGAUUUCUUUUUUUAUCCUCUCACUACUUCCCACGUCCUGAGCUUGGACAGUGUCGGCAGCGGUGAGAGCCCAGGGCUCAGACCUCGAGCAGGCUGAGCGGCGAGGAGAAUGGGCCCCUACUUACAUUACCGGGGCAAGCGCGGGACCUGGAAUCAGUGGCUACUACAUCGGCAGAGGCGGCAUGUGUGAGAUUGUCAGCAUUUGAAGGAACCAGCGAGUGUGGCUUUAGGUGCCUAAUUAGAAGAUACUGAAAGCUUGGCUGUUGCAGAGGAUUUCAAACUGACAACAGCAGACUUUGGUAAAGAGUAAGGGAGAAGGAGGAUGUGUACGAUGAAAAUCGAACAAGGAAUUGUAAUCAACGCCAUCGAGUACACACCCCGAUCAGAACUCCAGGCUGAAUUUGCAACCAAAAUCAUCAAGGUCAAAUUCUCAAAGUCAUGGUUGCAGCAUUUUCUCCUCUUGUGAGUACGGAGAGUGGAAAGUUUAUCAGCACUCACAAUCCGGCAUCUCUCACAAGCAGGAAGUGACAGGGAAUGUGUGACCGAGAACUAUAAAUAGAAGGACAUCUCGCCACAUGACAGUUUUUAAUCCCUCAGGUGUUGGGAUCAACACUUCCAUUAGCCUCUCAAAAGUGAAUAUCACCAAGCCGUUUUCAUAUAUAUUGAAGAACAGAUGUCUCAACGUUGAAGCAGCAAGAAAGGUAAACUGCAUUGAUUCUGAAGAAGGGUCUGGGCCUGAAACAUCAGCCUUCCUGCUCCUCUGAUGCUGCUUGGCCUGCUGUGUUCAUCCAGCUCUACACCUUGUUAUCUCAAACUGCAUUGAUUGUUGGAAUGUAGAAACAGUGGGGAGCUGGUACAGUUGGGUCUCUGGAGUGUGGAGGUGGUUCUGACAGUGAUCCUACUGUCAGAUCUGGCCUGUGCAACUGGUACAUGUCCUCUAGAGCAAUAUUACGUGUAAGGAAGUUUUUUAAAUUCUUUUCUUUUUGUAGCGCCUGUAUUGGAGCCAGAAGGUUAUAUUCCUCAGUAAUGACAGUAUAUACCGUGGUAAUUAAAUACUGGUUUAAUUUCUGAACUGUUGAUGUAUUAUUAUAGCACACUUCUCAGUAAAAUUACAAUCCUGUAUCUUAUUCCAUUGUGUCAUAUCCACUUAUAUUUUGGAAGAUACCAGUAAUGUAGAUAGAGCCCAGUAGUAUAAGAAGACUCUUCAAUAACAUAGGAAGACUGCAGCAGUGUUAGAAGACUUAUCAAUAAUGUUGGAAGACUCCAGUAGUGUCAGAAGAUUCUGUAUAAAGAUUCUACUGGUGUAGGAACACUACGAACAGAAGGACCUACUCUGCUAUUGAGUUAAAAUGUAAUCCUUUGAAUCAGAUCUGCACCUCAACUUGAUCUUCCUGCCUUUUGCUUCAUAUCUCUUCACUAAACAGACGUUAUUGUGCCCCGCCACCUCAGCAAGCUCACCCUAUGGGUUGCAGACAAAUCACCACAAUGUGAUGUGAUAAUCGUCAACAAAGCAUCACAUUCGUUAAAGCAAAAGGAUGCCAAGACAAAUUCUACAUGGAUGUCAUUUGAAUGAUAAUUCACACUGACUCUGUCUCAUUGAAUCCCCAUUAAGUGCGAUCCCAUUCGAUUAAGGAAAUCAAUAAAACCUCAAAUGGUAACUUGUGUGCUCUUUUCAAAAAAAAAAUUGGUUCAAUCCAAAGCGAGUCCUAUUUCAAUUUAGAUAAUUAUAGUCCAGCAUGUAAAGAGCAUCACAACAGAUUGUAGGUAACUGAA